GCAGGAUUGUGUAACUGCUACAGCAUUCUGGAAUGAAGGCAAGAACCUCAGAGACUUGCCAAACUUGGUUCUGCUCGGAAGAAAUUUUCCCCUGAGGGCUUAGAGAAGUCUCCCUCUCUCUGAAACAGCUUCUUCAAAGGUGGGCAAAAAGACACCAACACCCAUCCUAUAUCAGCCAACAUCCCAGUGACUGGUCCAUCGACACCAAGGACUUCAAAUUAUACCGAGUUCUGUGUAAAAUUAACACAACUCACAUCUUUCCCAGCAUCAUGGUCUUUUCCAGUGAGUCAGCUCUUUGCAUCGGGUGGACAAAGUAUUGGCACUUCAGCUUCAGUAUCAGUCCUUCCAAUGAAUAUUCAGGGUUGAUUUCCU
ensembl:lncRNA